rnacentral:rRNA from 1 species
ACGAAGGGGGCUAGCGUUGUUCGGAAUUACUGGGCGUAAAGCGCACGUAGGCGGACAUUUAAGUCAGGGGUGAAAUCCCGGAGCUCAACUCCGGAACUGCCUUUGAUACUGGGUGUCUCGAGUAUGGAAGAGGUACGUGGAAUUGCGAGUGUAGAGGUGAAAUUCGUAGAUAUUCGCAGGAACACCAGUGGCGAAGGCGGCUUACUGGUCCAUUACUGACGCUGAGGUGCGAAAGCGUGGGGAGCAAACAG